rnacentral:rRNA from 1 species
CAGAGGUCUCAAGCGUUGUUCGGAUUCAUUGGGCGUAAAGGGUGCGCAGGCGGCGAGGCAAGUCGGACGUGAAAUCCCGGGGCUUAACCCCGGAACUGCGUUCGAUACUGCCUUGCUCGAGGACUGGAGAGGAGACUGGAAUUCCUGGUGUAGCAGUGAAAUGCGUAGAUAUCAGGAGGAACGCCAAUGGCGAAGGCAAGUCUCUGGACAGUUCCUGACGCUCAUGCACGAAGGCCAGGGGAGCAAACGGGAUUAGAUACCCCGGUAGUCCUGGCAGUAAACGGUGCACGUUUGGUGUGGGAGGAUUCGACCCCUUCCGUGCCGGAGCUAACGCGUUAAACGUGCCGCCUGGGGAGUACGGUCGCAAGAUUA